AUUGAACGCUGGCGGCAGGCCUAACACAUGCAAGUCGAGCGGAGCGGCGGACGGGUGAGUAAUGCCUAGGAAUCUGCCUGGUCGUGGGGGAUAACGUCCGGAAACGGGCGCUAAUACCGCAUACUCUCAGAUGAGCCUAGGUCGGAUUAGCUAGUUGGUGGGGUAAAGGCCUACCAAGGCGACGAUCCGUAACUGGUCUGAGAGGAUGAUCAGUCAACAGGGAAAGGAGACACGGUCCAGACUCCGACGGGAGGCAGCAGUGGGGAAUAUUGGACAAGGGGCGAAAGCCUGAUCCAGCCAUGCCGCGUGUGUGAAGAAGGCCUUCGGGUUGUAAAGUACUUUCAGCGGGGAGGCGUUACCCGCAGAAGAAGCACCGGCUAACUCCGUGCCAGCCGCCGCGGUAAUUC
rnacentral:rRNA from 1 species